GAUGAACGCUGGCGGCGUGCUUAACACAUGCAAGUCGAACGGUGAAGCAGGAGCUUGCUCUUGUGGAUCAGUGGCGAACGGGUGAGUAACACGUGAGCAACCUGCCCCUGACUCUGGGAUAAGCGCUGGAAACGGCGUCUAAUACUGGAUAUGUGAUGUGACCGCAUGGUCUGCAUCUGGAAAGAAUUUCGGUUGGGGAUGGGCUCGCGGCCUAUCAGCUUGUUGGUGAGGUAAUGGCUCACCAAGGCGUCGACGGGUAGCCGGCCGGGGAGGGUGACCGGCGACACUGGGACUGAGACAUGGCGCAGACUCCUACGGGAGGCAGCGGGGGGGAAUAGUGCUCAAUGGGCGGAAGCCUGAGGCAGCAACGCCGCGUGAGGGAUGACGGCCUUCGGGUUGUAAACCUCUUUUAGCAGGGAAGAAGCGAAAGUGACGGUACCUGCAGAAAAAGCACCGGCUAACUACGUGCCAGCCGCCGCCGUAA
rnacentral:rRNA from 1 species